rnacentral:rRNA from 1 species
AGAGUUUGAUCAUGGCUCAGAUUGAACGCUGGCGGCAUGCCUUACACAUGCAAGUCGAACGGCAGCGCGGGGCAACCUGGCGGCGAGUGGCGAACGGGUGAGUAAUAUAUCGGAACGUGCCCUGGAGUGGGGGAUAACGCAGCGAAAGUUGCGCUAAUACCGCAUACGAUCUAAGGAUGAAAGCAGGGGACCGCAAGGCCUUGUGCUCCUGGAGCGGCCGAUAUCUGAUUAGCUAGUUGGUGGGGUAAAGGCCUACCAAGGCAUCGAUCAGUAGCUGGUCUGAGAGGACGACCAGCCACACUGGAACUGAGACACGGUCCAGACUCCUACGGGAGGCAGCAGUGGGGAAUUUUGGACAAUGGGCGCAAGCCUGAUCCAGCAAUGCCGCGUGAGUGAAGAAGGCCUUCGGGUUGUAAAGCUCUUUUGUCAGGGAAGAAACGGUGCGGGCUAAUAUCCCGCACUAAUGACGGUACCUGAAGAAUAAGCACCGGCUAACUACGUGCCAGCAGCCGCGGUAAUACGUAGGGUGCAAGCGUUAAUCGGAAUUACUGGGCGUAAAGCGUGCGCAGGCGGUUUUGUAAGUUUGUCGUGAAAGCCCCGGGCUCAACCUGGGAAUUGCGAUGAAGACUGCAAGGCUUGAAUCUGGCAGAGGGGGGUAGAAUUCCACGUAGCAGUGAAAUGCGUAGAGAUGUGGAGGAACACCGAUGGCGAAGGCAGCCCCCUGGGUCAAGAUUGACGCUCAUGCACGAAAGCGUGGGGAGCAAACAGGAUUAGAUACCCUAGUAGUCC